CAUAGCUCAGCGGUAGAGUGCCUCCCUUGCAAGGAGGAUGCCCUGGGUUCGAAUCCCAGUGA
rnacentral:tRNA from 1 species